UUUCCUGUUCUACAGUUGUGUUGUGAUAGAGGACAGCGGCAUAGGCCUUGCAGCUGCCAAAGCCGCUGGAAUGAAGUGUAUAGUAACUAAGAGCGGAUACACAGCCAAUCAAGAAUUUCCGAAUGCAGAUGCAGUCUUCGACUUCAUUGGAGAUCCCCCGGAGGAGCGAUUCGACUUGGCAUUCUGCGGAAGCCUUCUCAAGCAGUGAGCUAGCUCAGUUUUCAGUAAUUAUCUGUUCCAUCUAAAAUUCGUUGGAUAGUGAUUAGGGUUUCAGCAAAGAUAAUAAAAAAAAUGCCAGUGCAUUUUGUAGUAGUCUUGAUGUAUAUUAAAGUGCAAAUUAGCAAUUCUCAAGCAGACAAAGUUUUCAUUUGUGAAUCUCUGGAUGAAGUAUUAUAAGGAGCUUCCAUUGCUAAGGCAAGCUUUUGGAAUGAUCUUAAGCUAUGAAUUCUUUCAUUUG